rnacentral:lncRNA from 1 species
GUCAAAUGUGUUAAAACUCUACAGUGUAUUGUAGCUACCUUUUUAGUUGUGAUUCUUUUAUUCUUAUGUCUGUAAUAGCAGAUGGAUGUUGUGAGGUUUGGUGGUAUUUUUUAUUCCUUUCAAAAAGGUAGAAGGAAGAAUGCAGAGCUGUGGUCCCGUAGUACAAGCAGUAUAAGAAGUUAUUUUCCAGGUUCUGCAGCUCAGGUACGGGGUAACAAGCUUUCAGCAUCCACUCAGCACAGGGAUUACCAGCAGCAUCCUUUGAAUUUUGACCCAAGAAGCAGAAAUGGAACAGGAGGAAACACUCAACGACCAAAGACAGUGCCUAGCAGAUGGAAGGAGAGAAUGGCAGAUAGGCUAUUAACCACACCUAAAUGAAAAGUCUCUUCCUACUGUCUUCAAGCCGCUACAGAAACAAAGGAUGGUCCAGAAGUAAACCUAAAUGUAUUUUUUAAUCAGUCCAGAGCAUUUUAGAAAACGCCACUGAACUGGUAACUUUGAAGUAUGAAAAGAACAAUUUAUAUACAAAUCAAAGAGAGGCAGUGAUACUCCAGUGCUGUGAUACGCACUUGAACAUACUUGGCUGCAGCAUGCAACACCAGCUUCGGUCAGUUAACCUGCUCAUCCAUUUUCGGUACUGGGUGAUGCAGAACCUUCUUCUGAGCAAGGGCAGCACUGUCCUCCCUUCAGACAAUGCAGAACAGUAUGGAAAGGCAAGGAUAUCAGUCAAAACUAAAAGGCUUCCUUUUAUUGGGGUAACCUUGGAACAUAAUGGUGCAAUGCAUAGCUAACUGCUUAGAGCAAAAGCAUUGGAUCUGGUGUUUGGCAUGGGGGGGGGGGGUUGUUGUUUUAACUGCUUUCCUAUUGCAACCCCUGACCACCCCCUCCCGCCCAAUGAAGUGCUCUCACCCCCAGAGGUCACUGCCUGUACACUGAACCUGUCAUAACUGUUUAAAGAUGACUCAUCAAAACUGUCAACAUUUCCACCUUCCCUAGCAACUUCUCUGCCCUCCCCUUCGAAAGAUGAAGGGCAGCUCCUUGCACAAUGCUAUAUUAACAGAAGAAAAAAAAAAAAGCAUAAAUUCAUCUGCAUUUCUGUUGCAUGGAAAAAAGAUUGCUUUUAGAACCUAGCCAAUAAAGGACUCAAAAUUGUCUGUCAG